CACACUGUAAUGAAUGGGAGAGGAUGAGAGAAUGAGCAGCUGCGGGUGAUUUAAAUUUAGUGACACAGGCUUUGACGCUGAGAAAAACAGGGAGACAGAGAGAAGGCGCCAACAGGCUGACGUAAAUGGCCCGGGGAGACGACCCAGAAGGGAGACCAAGCAGCACCUUCAGCAGAGGAGUGCAUUCGCCUUAGAGGCUACGGUCACCAGUCGCAGGAAUCGCAUAUAUCCUUUGGUCCCAUGUUGAGAGAGGUGAAGAACCUACCAAGAGAAGAAAGACUUAUCAUGGUUUUGGUCGUCGUCAGCCUGGUGGCUGGCUCCACUCUUGUCGCGGUGACGCUACUGCUGGUGUGGCUGGCCUACCGUCGCCGGGCGAGCUGGUCCGCUCCCCUCAGCAGCUCCGCCACGAGCCUGCUGUGGCUGUCUGAGGUGACUUGAUCCUACCGUGACCAAGGAGGAGCCACGGCCAAUUAGAAGUGAUCACGUUCUCACCAAAAUAACGGCAGACAAUUACAUUAGUCAACAGACAUUGGAACAGUCAAUCAUAUUAGCCGUAGAGCAGAGGCGGCCACUCGCAUCAGCCACUAUAGGCCAGACUUGAAGUGGAGAAGCAAUCCAAUUCACACCUCCUCUCACAGGUGACACAGCUGUUGCAGUCAAAUUUCACACUUAACCAAGAGCAACCCAUUAUCAUUCACUGAAAAUAAACACCUUCCCCCGAAUAGAAAAGCUGCUCUGAGCCCUUUAUUUUCACUCAGUGGCAACAAAUCAAUUCUCUAUGUAUGAGAUUUGCUGCUUGAUACAGGUUUAUAUUUAAAAUAUAUGCAUUCCU